AGGUUAAGUUAACAAGGGCGCAUGGUGAAUGCCUUGGCACUAGGAGCCGAUGAAGGACGGGACUAACACCGAUAUGCUUCGGGGAGCUGUACGUAAGCUAUGAUCCGGAGAUUUCCGAAUGGGGCAACCCAGCAGUUUUAAUCAACUGUUACCACUAGAUGAAUUCAUAGUCUAGUUGGAGGUAAACGCUGUGAACUGAAACAUCUCAUUAGCAGCAGGAAUAUAAAGAAAUUUCGAUUCCCUAAGUAGCGGCGAGCGAACGGGGAACAGCCCAAACCAAAGUGCUUGCACUUUGGGGUUGUAGGACUGAACAUUUGAGUUACCAAAGAACUUGAUAGUCGAAGGAUUUGGGAAAAUCCGCCAUAGAUGGUGAUAGCCCAGUAGAUUAAAUCAAAUUCUCUCAGUUCAGGAUCCUGAGUACGGCGGAACACGUGAAAUUCCGUCGGAAUCCGGGAGGACCAUCUCCCAAGGCUAAAUACUACCUAGUGACCGAUAGUGAACCAGUACCGUGAGGGAAAGGUGAAAAGCACCCCGGGAGGGGAGUGAAAUAGUUCCUGAAACCAUGUGCCUACAAUAAGUCAGAGCGCGUUAAUGCGUGAUGGCGUGCCUUUUGUAGAAUGAACCGGCGAGUUAUGAUCCCGUGCAAGGUUAAGACUAAAAAGUCGGAGCCGUAGCGAAAGCGAGUCUGAAAUGGGCGUUUUGAGUACGAGGUUAUAGACCCGAAACCAGGUGACCUAUCCAUGUCCAGGUUGAAGGUGCGGUAAAACGCACUGGAGGACCGAACCCGUGUAAGUUGAAAAUUGCUGGGAUGAGGUGUGGAUAGCGGUGAAAUUCCAAACGAACUUGGAGAUAGCUGGUUCUCUCCGAAAUAGCUUUAGGGCUAGCCUCGGAAUUAGGAUCAUGGAGGUAGAGCACUAUUUGGACUAGGGGCCCGUCUUGGGUUACUGAAUUCAGAUAAACUCCGAAUGCCAUUGAUUCAUAUCCGGGAGUCAGACGAUGAGUGAUAAGAUCCACCGUCGAAAGGGGAACAGCCCAGACCAUCAGUUAAGGUCCCUAAAUGUAUGCUAAGUGGAAAAGGAUGUGGAGUUGCAUAGACAACUAGGAUGUUGGCUCAGAAGCAGCCACCAUUUAAAGAGUGCGUAAUAGCUCACUAGUCGAGUGAUCCUGCGCCGAAAAUGUACCGGGGCUAAGCAUACUACCGAAACCAUGGAUGCGACCAUUAGGUCGCGUGAUAGGAGAGCGUUCUAAGGGCGGUGAAGCAAGAUCGUGAGGACUUGUGGAGCGCUUAGAAGUGAGAAUGCCGGUAUGAGUAGCGAAAGAUAGGUGAGAAUCCUAUCCACCGAAUGACUAAGGUUUCCUGGGGAAGGCUCGUCCUCCCAGGGUUAGUCGGGACCUAAGUCGAGGCCGAGAGGCGUAGACGAUGGAUAACAGGUUGAGAUUCCUGUACUAGUUAGGUGCGUUUGAGCAAUGGAGGGACGCAGGAGGCUAAGAUGUGCAUUCUGUUGGAUUAGAAUGUCCAAGCAGUAAGUCUUGUGAAGAGUCAAAUGCUUUUCACUUUAAGGACAAGCUGUGAUGGGGAGCGAAAUUUAGUAGCGAAGCGUCUGAUGUCACACUGCCGAGAAAAGCUUCUAGUGAGUACUUAACUACCCGUACCGCAAACCGACACAGGUAGUCGAGGAGAGAAUCCUAAGGUGAGCGAGUGAACUCUCGUUAAGGAACUCGGCAAAAUGACCCCGUAACUUCGGGAGAAGGGGUGCUGAUCGCAAGAUCAGCCGCAGUGAAUAGGCCCAGGCGACUGUUUAUCAAAAACACAGGUCUCUGCAAAAUCGUAAGAUGACGUAUAGGGGCUGACGCCUGCCCGGUGCUGGAAGGUUAAAAGGAUGGGUUAGCUUCGGCGAAGCUCAGAAUUGAAGCCCCAGUAAACGGCGGCCGUAACUAUAACGGUCCUAAGGUAGCGAAAUUCCUUGUCGGGUAAGUUCCGACCCGCACGAAAGGCGUAACGAUCUGGGCACUGUCUCAACGAGAGACUCGGUGAAAUUAUAUUGUCCGUGAAGAUGCGGACUACCCGCGACAGGACGGAAAGACCCCAUGGAGCUUUACUGUAGCUUGAUAUUGAGUGUUUGUACAGCUUGUACAGGAUAGGUAGGAGCCAUAGAAACCGGAACGCUAGUUUCGGUGGAGGCGUUGGUGGGAUACUACCCUCGCUGUAUGACCACUCUAACCCGCACCACUAAUCGUGGUGGGAGACAGUGUCAGGUGGGCAGUUUGACUGGGGCGGUCGCCUCCUAAAAAGUAACGGAGGCGCCCAAAGGUUCCCUCAGAAUGGUUGGAAAUCAUUCGCAGAGUGUAAAGGCACAAGGGAGCUUGACUGCGAGACAGACAGGUCGAGCAGGGACGAAAGUCGGGCUUAGUGAUCCGGUGGUACCGUAUGGAAGGGCCAUCGCUCAACGGAUAAAAGCUACCCUGGGGAUAACAGGCUUAUCUCCCCCAAGAGUCCACAUCGACGGGGAGGUUUGGCACCUCGAUGUCGGCUCAUCGCAUCCUGGGGCUGUAGUCGGUCCCAAGGGUUGGGCUGUUCGCCCAUUAAAGCGGUACGCGAGCUGGGUUCAGAACGUCGUGAGACAGUUCGGUCCCUAUCCGUCGCGGGCGUAGGAAAUUUGAGAGGACCUGUCCUUAGUACGAGAGGACCGGGAUGGACAUACCUCUGGUGUACCAGUUGUGCCGCCAGGCGCAUCGCUGGGUAGCUACGUAUGGAUGUGAUAAACGCUGAAAGCAUCUAAGUGUGAAACACACCUCGAGAUGAGAUUUCCCAUUCCUUUAUGGAAGUAAGACCCCUGAAAGAUGAUCAGGUAGAUAGGUUAGAAGUGGCAGUGCGGUGACGCAUGAAGCGGACUAAUACUAAUCGGUCGAGGACUUAACCAAG
rnacentral:rRNA from 2 species